AUUGAACGCUGGCGGAAUGCUUUACACAUGCAAGUCGAACGGCAGCACGGACUUCGGUCUGGUGGCGAGUGGCGAACGGGUGAGUAACAUAUCGGAACGUAUCCAAUAAUGGGGGAUAACUAAUCGAAAGGUUGGCUAAUACCGCAUACGCCCUACGGGGGAAAGCUAGGGACCUUCGGGCCUGGCGUUAAUGGAGCGGCCGAUAUCUGAUUAGCUAGUUGGUGGGGUAAAGGCCCACCAAGGCGACGAUCAGUAGCUGGUCUGAGAGGACGACCACCCAAACUGGAACUGAGACACGGUCCAGACUCCUACGGGAGGCAGCAGUGGGGAAUUUUGGACAAUGGGCACAAGCCUGAUCCAGCCAUUCCGCGUGAGUGAAGAAGGCCUUCGGGUUGUAAAGCUCUUUCGCAAGGGAAGAAAACUUACCCUCUAACAUAGGGUGAGGUUGACGGUACCUUGAUAAGAAGCACCGGCUAACUACGUGCCAGCAGCCGCCGUAA
rnacentral:rRNA from 1 species